UACAUAGGGAGCAAGCGUUAUCCGGAUUUAUUGGGUGUAAAGGGUGCGUAGACGGAGAAGCAAGUUGGUUGUGAAAUCCCUCGGCUUAACUGAGGAACUGCAACCAAAACUACUUCCCUUGAGUGUUGGAGAGGAAAGUGGAAUUCCUAGUGUAGCGGUGAAAUGCGUAGAUAUUAGGAGGAACACCAGUGGCGAAGGCGACUUUCUGGACAAUUACUGACGUUGAGGCACGAAAGUGUGGGGAGCAAAC
rnacentral:rRNA from 1 species